GACUCUUGGUAGCAUAGAUCAUUGGCUCUUGUUUUGAUGAAUAACGCAAUGAAAUGUAAUACUUGGUGUGAAUUGCAAAAUCAUGUGAAUCAUUAAGUUUUUUAACAUAAUUUUCACCUAAGGCCUUUACUAAGGGAACAUAUUUUUGGGUAUCA
rnacentral:rRNA from 1 species